rnacentral:misc_RNA from 1 species
CGUUUUCGUAUUUUUUUUUCCUCGUCGCGGAUUAUAUUGGCCCAGGGUGUUGGCCGCGAAACGAGCUUUCCGAAAAGUACUCACGGGCCCCGUGAAUCCAUCGGGAUCGAAAGUUAGGCUCGUGAACGUAAAGACGGGCGAAAUAUGUUUGCCAAGCAAUUUUCGAACGUAAAGACGGGCGAAUUCUGUUUGCCAAGCAAUAUUCGUUUAUGUAUUUCGUCGUAUGUAAGUAUUAUUCCGUUAAUUGAGUGGGGCUCGGGAAAUUGCGUUAAUUGAGUGGCUCAAAGGGCGGAGGUCGAACACUCUAGACUUCGCCCGAGAAGAGAAAUCGAGUCGCUUCAAGUAAAUUUGCUUUGCAUAACAUGAC